rnacentral:lncRNA from 1 species
CCUCCGGCUACAAUGAUUGGUCAGAAUCAAGCCCUUGACUGAAACCAACCAGUCACAGCUAAUGAGAUUAAUCAUCAAUGAAUAUUAGCUAGUGUUACUGCUCCAUUAUUGUGGCAAAUGUUAACUCCAUCCCCCACCCACAGCCGGGUCUUGGUAGGGAGAGGGUGAAAUGAUGGACUAGGAGAGAUUUGGGUUCCUUGGACAGAUCUUGCCUUUUCCAGCAAGCUAUGGGCCCCUGGCCCUCACCUCCCGCUUCUCAGUUUCUUCACCUGGAAAAUGAAGAUGACUAAGGAACCUGGGCCUUGGAAGGUUCUGGGAAUUCAGUGGAGUCAGAUUUAAAUAGAUUUUACUGCGACAGGGGAGACCCCACCAAGCAGGGCCAAUAUAUGUGGUCCCAGGAGGUCAAGAAAUGGUGACUUUCCGUAUCCACUCCCGUCUUUCACUGCACGAAGCCCUCGGAAGAUUAUUCUAUAGCAGUACGAUGACAGCAUCCUCCUUCUAGGAACUACAUCGUCUUCCGUCUCUGGAUGUGCCAUCUUUUACUCAGCUAGUCUACAUCUCAGGUGUUCCCCAUCUUCUGCACACAAGUAUUUGCACAUGCGUGCACGUUCUUCAUUUGUGUAUUAUCUACGGCCCAGUUCUUGCUGCAGCAGCGGAAUCGAGAAGCUGCGGGAGAGACCCCGCAGCCUGCAAAGCUGAAAAUAUUUACUUCCUGGCCAUUCACAGAAAAUGUUUGCCAACCCAUGACCUAAAGCAUCAUCUCUCAGAGGGUUGGGAAGGAACCUGGAAGCUGUCCCAUUCAGAGGCGGGAGCUUCAACGGGACCCUGCGUCUUCUGCCUCCAAGGCCUGUGGUAGGGGCUGUCACAGGCUGCAGAGGAGUCCAGGAGGGAGAUGCUACAGGUAAGGCAGGAGGAUGGAGAAGAGAGAACAGACUUGAACUAGACUUAGGGUCACACCAGCAGCUGUGAGCAGCUGACGAGUGUUCCAGUGCAAGGAGAGGAGGGUGCAAGAGCCAGGGAUUAUACACUGAUUAGCCUCCAUCACCGCAGAAAUUAUCUUGCCUGUGCAUGGUGCGAGGGUCUGGAACAUACAUUUAACCAAGGCAAGGAGCGAAGUGAGAGGAAGCAAUAUUGUGGAUUGCAGGAGGUGAUGGAUGAGAUGAGAGAAGAAUCUGCAUGGUCAGAAUCUGUUUGGCAUCGGAAGGGAAGUACCCAGGAAAUUUGAGGAUCGCCUCGUCCAGUUGUCUGUGGAACUGAACUGUGAGUUGUCCAUGAGGGAUGAAUGGCAAUGCCAAUGUUUCCAGAGUUUCUGUCAUGAGGUCUCCUGGCUUGGAGAUGGAGAGGGCACACACAGGUUUCGGAUUCAAGCCUGCAGGACAGUCCUGGCUGCACCACUCAGGAACCCUGGGUGAGUCUCUUUACCCCUCACAGCCUCAGUUUUCCCUUCCUGGAAAUGGGACCACAAUCCAAACCUUGUAGAACUGCUUCAAAGAUGAAAGGAGACAUCGCAUGUGAGAUGCCGGCCCAUAGGAGCCAGGGCACGAAAGGCAGCUCCGCAUUGGGUCCCCAAAAAGUCUCCGCAGGUUGGCAGCCAAGAGAGCUACCAUUUCUUUGUUUGGAGAGAUUCCACUCCCUGGAAAGGGUAAUCCUGCAGGAAAGGAGGAGGGAGUCGUUCCAGAGUUUGGGAGAUGUCGGCUUUGACUCUGAGUGAUGCCGCCUCAAACACUUACUGUCAUACAGGAAGUUACUCAAACACAAUCAAUUAGACACCCAUAUUAGCAUAUUUGUCAUUGUAAUACAGCCGCAGAGAGGAGAUGCUGGAGACUGUUUAUUGCUGUUCUGAGCUAAUAUUUAUUAAAGUGAUUAAUAUGUUUUUCAAAUAUCUGUGACAGGCGUGGCAGGAAUUACUGAUCUCCUCCCUCGAGAGCCUGAAAGGGUGAGGGGUGGGAGUCACUUAGAGAGGGGCGGCAGGUAGGGGCCUUGGGGCCUCAGGGGACCGUGUCCUCCUCUGGGGCCCCUUUCCUGCUCGGGCCUCCUGCCUUCCAUCUUCCCCUGUCUCCUCCACCUUCAACUUCCCCUGUCUCCUCUCCUCCACCUUCAACUUCCCCCUCUACUGACCGUUCCCAUCGGCAUUCUGAGACAUCUCCCACCAUGACAAAUAGAGACCUCCCAGGAUGCCCUGUCCCCCUGCUCCUUCCUGGACCCCCUCAUCCCCAGCCAUUCUGCCAUCUUCCUCCUUCCCUCCAUAGCCAAACUCUUCAAAAGAACUCUUUUCCCUCCCUACCUCCUUUGCUCAUCUUCCAGUCUCUGCUUUUUAAAAAUCAUUACAAAAAAUUAAAAGUGGCUGGGCGCGGUGGCUCACACCUGUAAUCCCAGUACUUUUGGAGGCCAAGGCGGGAGGGAAUAACCUGAGGUCAGGAGUUCGAGACCAGCCUGGCCAACAUGGUGAAACCCUGUCUCUAUUAAAAAUACAAAAAUUAGCAGGGUGUGGUAGCUGGUGCCUGUAAUCCCAGCUACUCAGGAGGC